rnacentral:lncRNA from 1 species
GGAGCCGGCCUUGGGAUCCAUCUUUCGGGCCCUGGGACGUGAGAGAAGAAUGCCGGGGCCUCUCUCUGUGCCCCUGGCACGCCUCUGUGCAGGCCGGGCCUGCACCACCCCCGCGCCCGUCCCCCAGGCAGGGUCCGUGUGGCUGCAGACACCCAGAGAGGGGAGGCUGGGAGGCUGGGGAGCCGUGGCAGCCCGAUGCAGUGCGGGUCUCCAGGUGGAGGGGCCCUGGUCCCCUGGCGCCAGCGUGGCCCUUCCUCCUUGUGGAAACCCUUGUGGUGUGUGUGCUCUCUCGCCCUGACCCAGGAGAGCAGCAUGGCGGACCCCUGAUCUUGUGGCGUGCCACCGCGCGAGGCCGAGGAGCUCCCGCAGACCAGUGGGCGUGGCGUCCUUGUCGCGGCUCUGUGGAGACCUGGCGAUGGAGAGCAGCAUGGCGGACCCCUGAUCUUGUGGCGUGCCACCGCGCGAGGCCGAGGAGCUCCCGCAGACCAGUGGGCGUGGCGUCCUUGUCGCGGCUCUGUGGAGACCUGGCGAUGGUGAGCGGCCCCUGUCCUCAGUGGUGGAGAACUCGCCCUUGGGGCGCUCGUCGGUCCGGAGCCCCGGGCCACCCCCGCUUCUCGCGGGCUUUGGCCCCGGCAGGCCAGCUCCGGGGGCGUGAGGGGGAGCGUCCCGUCCUGCCCAGUGGCUCGUCUGUCUGGGCACGCCCCCAAACGCUGCCGUGAUGGAGCGGGUGGGAUGUCCAGGUGCGGAGGCCGUGAAUUUGCCUUGCGGCGGCGGAGCCCGUGCUCGGAUCGAUGAUGACUCCCUCUAAAGCAUUCCUUGGAAAUCUGAACAAAAUGAGUGAGAACUCACUACCGUCUCCUCAUCGAAACUGAGGUCCGGCACGUGGCGGCCACCGGGGGCUCGGGGUCAGAUGGGCCCUUGGCCUUGGGGCCUCUGUGUGUCAGCAGCCACUCGGGUGAGGUCUGGGAAGG